rnacentral:rRNA from 1 species
GCCAGACUCCUACGGGAGGCAGCAGUGGGGGAUAUUGCACAAUGGGGGGAACCCUGAUGCAGCGACGCCGCGUGGGUGAAGGAGCGUUUCGGCGCGUAAAGCCCUCUCGGCAGGGAAGAAGGAGGACGGUACCUGACUAAGAAGCCCCGGCUAACUACGUGCCAGCAGCCGCGGUAAUACGUAGGGGGCAAGCGUUAUCCGGAUUUACUGGGUGUAAAGGGGGCGCAGACGGCAGCGCAAGCCAGGAGUGAAAGCCCGGGGCCCAACCCCGGGACUGCUCUUGGAACUGCGCGGCUGGAGUACAGGAGAGGAAAGCGGAAUUCCUAGUGUAGCGGUGAAAUGCGUAGAUAUUAGGAAGAACACCAGUGGCGAAGGCGGCUUUCUGGACUGAAACUGACGCUGAGGCACGAAAGCGUGGGGAGCGAACAGGAUUAGAUACCCUCGUA